rnacentral:lncRNA from 1 species
CAAUGGAUCGACAACAUGGGUCAGCCAAUUCUGCUUUUCAGUGAAUCACUUUAAUUCCUUAUUCUUUGAUUGUCAGCUCUAAAAACACACUGCUGGUGUUGCCUGGGUGGAAAUUUGUCUGUAAAUCCCUCCUGUAUGAGUUAAGGCUCAUGCAGAUGGUGGCAGUGCAGAUCAAACUGGCACUGAAGAGUUGUUUUCUCUUUUCUAAAGCCAAAUGAGCAUUUUAAAGAGCAAGUGGGCAGCCAUUAUGAUUUCAGUGGCUUUUACUACUGCUCUGUAAAAACUACAAAAGCCCUUCAGCUGCUUCUACCUCUUGUCUAAUUUUAAAAUAUAUUAAGUAAAACCUCCCCAGAAACUGGUGGGUGUAACUGUUGCCCUGCUUCUAAAUCCCUUAGAAACUAUAACUUUCUUUUAUGAACUGACAGAGGUUUAAGCUUUGGUUUGGAGGCUUAGUAGCACCUCGGCAAUCCUAGGAAAGGCUGGGCAAGGACAUGGCAGAGGGCAUCUACUGAAACCAGCUUGAUACUAAUUAGUAGGAAACUGUCUGUGGUAUCUCCGUUUCAUGUGGCAAAUCGAUACAGCUGGUACAAAGAAUGGAGAAACUGGACAAAAAGAGGAGCUACUGAGGACAGAUGUUCAAGAAAAUGUAGACAAGCUUUGAAAUACUUGAACAGGAAGAUUUUCCCUGUCUCCAGUGCUCUGCAGAACUUCACAGCCAAUUUGAGAAGGCAGUCCUGGGUCAGCAGGGAAGGCUAAUGACUUCCAUAAGAAAAAAAAGCUGUUUGUAGGUGUUCAUCCAGACCUGGGCUCCUCAAUAAAAGACUGAGACAAAGCUACUGGAAAUAAUCC